rnacentral:rRNA from 1 species
GAUGAACGCUGGCGGCGUGCCUAAUACAUUCAAGUCGAGCGAAGCGGGGACGGGUGAGUAACACGUGCAUAACCUCCUAUAAGACUGGGACAACUUCGGGAAACCGGCGCUAAACCGGAUACUUAUAGAUUGAUCCUCGCUUCAUUAGCUAGUUGGUAAGUUAACGGCUUACCAAGGCAACGAUGCAUAGCCGACCUGAGAGGGGGUUCGGCCACACUGCAACUGAGACACGGUCCAGACUCCUACGGGAGGCAGCAGUAAGGAGUCUGCCGAAAUGGGCGAAAGCCUGACGGAGCGACGCCGCGUGAGUGCUGAAGGUCUUCGAAUCGUAAAGCUCUGUUAUGAGGGAAGCGGUAUCUAAUCAGAAAGCCACGACUAACUCCGUGCCAGCCGCCGCGGUAAUUC